rnacentral:rRNA from 1 species
ACCGAGUUGGUGUAGGGGAGCACUCGGCAUUCGCUAGUAACGGCGAGUGAAGCGGGAAGAGCUCAUGUUGUAAAUCUGGAUGAGGGUUCCUCGUCCCGAAUUGUAGUCUAGAGAUGCGUGCUCAGCUACUCUCCAGGGCUAAGUCUGUUUGUGAAAGACAGCGUCAUGGACGGUGAUAACCCGGUUCUUGCCUUGGAUGUUGUAGCGUUAUGAGCCGUCCUCAACGAGUCGAGUUGCUUGGGAUUGCAGCUCUAAGUGGGUGGUAAAUUCCAUCUAAAGCUAAAUAUUGGUGGGAGACCGAUAGCGAACAAGUACCGUGAGGGAAAGAUGAAAAGAACUUUGAAAAGAGAGUUAAAUAGUACCUGAAACUGCUGAAAGGGAAGCGAAUGAAGUCAGUGUUGCUCUUUGUGCUCUGCAUACUCCCUGCGGGGAUUGUGUAUCGAGGACUUUGGGCUUGUCAGGAUGAGUUCUCUGCCGCGGGAUAUGUUUUGUAUGCUGGAUGCUUUUUGCGGAACAUACUUUCUCUGUCGUGGCUUGGACUGAGGUUCCAUCUUGCCGUUGCCUAUGCGUUACUCUCCGAUUGCUGUCUCGGUUCUACUGCUUGCAGUGCUCAGUGGCAGUAGUUGGACUGUGCGUAUUACGCAUGCAAGGUCAGGAUCCUGACGAAAUGGCUUUAUUUACCCCGUCUUGAAACACGGACCAAGGAGUCUAACAUACGUGCGAGUACUUUGGUGGCAAACCAAUGUGCGCAAUGAAAGUAAAGGCUGGCUUCCGUCAGCUCAUGUGGGAUCCUUAUGGAGCACCAUCGACCGACCAUUAUGCCUUCGGGCUAAAGGUUUGAGUGUGAGCAUUUAUGUUGGGACCCGAAAGAUGGUGAACUAUGCCUGAAUAGGGCGAAGCCAGGGGAAACUCUGGUGGAGGCUCGUAGCGAUUCUGACGUGCAAAUCGAUCGUCAAAUUUGGGUAUAGGGGCGAAAGACUAAUCGAACCAUCUAGUAGCUGGUUCCCUCCGAAAUUUCCCUCAGGAUAGCUGCAACCGGUUAAGAGUUUUAUCAGGUAAAGCGAAUGAUUAGAGGCCUCGGGGUCGGAAUGACCUCGACCUAUUCUCAAACUUUAAAUGGGUAAGAACCCGGGGUUGCUUAAUUGAACCCUGCGGUCGAAUCUCGGUUGCUAGUGGGCCAGUCCGGGUAAGCUGGACUGGCGAUGCGGGAUGAUCCGAACGCUUAGUUAAAGUGCCUAACUGCUCGCUCACCUAGAUCCCACAAAAGGUGUUGGUUCAUUUAGACAGCAGGACGGUGGCCAUGGAAGUCGGAACCCGCUAAGGAGUGUGUAACAACUCACCUGCCGAAUGAACUAGCCCUGAAAAUGGAUGGCGCUAAAGCGUGCGACUUAUACUAAGCCAUCAGUGCGAGACGUAUGCACUGAUGAGUAG